AUGCUGACAUAAGUAACGAUAAAGCGGGUGAAAAGCCCGCUCGCCGGAAGACCAAGGGUUCCUGUCCAACGUUAAUCGGGGCAGGGUGAGUCGACCCCUAAGGCGAGGCCGAAAGGCGUAGUCGAUGGGAAACAGGUUAAUAUUCCUGUACUUGGUGUUACUGCGAAGGGGGGACGGAGAAGGCUAUGUUAGCCGGGCGACGGUUGUCCCGGUUUAAGCAUGUAGGCGGAGGUUCCAGGUAAAUCCGGUACCUUUUAACGCUGAGGUGUGAUGACGAGGCACUACGGUGCUGAAGUAACAAAUGCCCUGCUUCCAGGAAAAGCCUCUAAGCAUCAGGUAACACGAAAUCGUACCCCAAACCGACACAGGUGGUCAGGUAGAGAAUACCAAGGCGCUUGAGAGAACUCGGGUGAAGGAACUAGGCAAAAUGGUGCCGUAACUUCGGGAGA
rnacentral:rRNA from 1 species